rnacentral:rRNA from 1 species
AGCUCCGGCGCCUAAGGAUGGGUCUGCGGCCUAUCAGGUAGUAGUGGGUGUAGCGUACCUACUAGCCUACGACGGGUACGGGUUGUGAGAGCAAGAGCCCGGAGAUGGAUUCUGAGACACGAAUCCAGGCCCUACGGGGUGCAGCAGGCGCGAAAACUUUACAAUGCUGGCAACAGCGAUAAGGGAACCUCGAGUGCCAGGUUACAAAUCUGGCUGUCGAGAUGCCUAAAAAGCAUUUCAUAGCAAGGGCCGGGCAAGACCGGUGCCAGCCGCCGCGGUAACACCGGCGGCUCGAGUGGUAACCGUUAUUAUUGGGUCUAAAGGGUCUGUAGCCGGCCGGAUAAGUCUCUUGAGAAAUCUGGCAGCUUAACUGUCAGGCUUUCAGGAGAUACUGUCUGGCUCGAGGCCGGGAGAGGUGAGAGGUACUUCAGGGGUAGGGGUGAAAUCUUGUAAUCCUUGAAGGACCACCAGUGGCGAAGGCGUCUCGCCAGAACGGACCUGACGGCAAGGGACGAAAGCUAGGGGCACGAACCGGAUUAGAUACCCGGGUAGUCCUAGCCGUAAACGAUACUCGCUAGGUGUCGGCCACGGUGCGACCGUUGUCGGUGCCGUAGGGAAGCCGUGAAGCGAGC